rnacentral:lncRNA from 1 species
GGCCCUGAGGAACUGGGGUGCCCAGUAUUGGGGUGCCCAGGUCUCAAGAAAUUGGGGUGCCCACUAAGGGGGUGUCUGGGCUCCAAGAUAUUGGGGUGCCCGGGCCCCGAGGAACUGGGGUGCCCAGUAAGGGGGUGCCCGGGCCCCAAGAGAUUGGGGUGCCCAAUAUUGGGGUGCCUGGGCCUCAAGAAAUUAGGGUGCCUGGGCCCUGAGGAACCAGGGUGCUGUCACCUCCCCCUGAGGACCUGCUGUCCACCCAAGAGGAGAUACAACCUUGCUGAUGGAAUGGGGUGCCCAAUAUUGGGGUGCCUGAGCCUCAAGAUAUUGGGGUGCCUGGGCCCUGAGGUGCCCAGGAUUGGGGUGCCCAGGCCCCAAGAGAUUGGGGUGCCCAGUAUUGGGGUGCCUGGGCCUCAAGAAAUUGGGGUGCCUGGGCCCUGAGGAACUGGGAUGCCCAGUAUUGGGGUGCCUGGGCCCCGAGGAACUGGGGUGCUCAGGAUGGGGGUGUCCAGAACUGGGGUGCUCAGGAUGGGGGUGCCAGACCCCCGAGGGACAGGGGUACCCCAAAAAUGAAGAAGGAUGAGGUGGGACGACACACCAAGGCACCGAGACCCAGAGGAACCGGGGGGUGCUCCAUCACAGGGCUGUCACCUCCCCCUGAGGACCUGCUGUCCACCCAAGAGGAGAUACAACCUUGCUGAUGGUUCUCCAUGGAGACGUCACCACCCCUUGGGAUCACCACACUUUGGAGGCCUCAGGGGGUGUCACCACCACUUGGGGACCUCCCCAGAGCUGUCACCUCCCCCCGGAGACCUCAGGAGGUGUCACCUCCACUUGGGGACUGUCACCUCCCCCUGGGGACCUGCUGUCUCCACCCAAGAGCAGCCACCACCUUGGGAAUCCCCCGUGGUGGCCACCUUCUCCAUGGAGAUGCCACCACCCCUUGGGAUCACCACCCUUUGGGGAUCUCAGGGGGUGUCACCUCCCCUUGGGGACCUUCCCAGGGCUGUCACCUUCCCCCGAGAACCUGCUGUCCACCCAAGAGGAGACACAACCUUGCUGAUGGUCAACUUCUCCAUGGAGGUGCCACCACCGCUUGGGAUCACACUUUGGAGGCCUCAGAGGGUGUCACCUCCUCUUGGGGACCUCCCCAUGACUGUCCCCUCCCCUUGGGGACCUUCCCAGGGCUGUCACCUCCCCCCAAGGACCUGCUGUCCACCCAAGAGGAGGCACAACCUUGCUGAUGGCCACCUUCUCCAUGGAGGUGCCACCACCCCUUGGGAUCACCACACUUUGGAGGCCUCAGGGGGUGUCACCUCCACUUGGGGACCUCCCCAGGGCUGUCACCUCCCCCUGAGGACCUCAGGAGGUGUCACCUCCCUGUGGGGACUGUCACCUCCCCCUGGGGACCUGCUGUCUCCACCAAAGAGCAGCCACCACCUUGGGAAUCCCCUGUGGUGGCCACCUUCUCCAUGGAGGUGCCACCACCCCUUGGGAUCACCACCCUUUGGGGACCUCAAGGACCUCCCCACAACUGUCACCUCCCCUUGGUGCCUGUCACCUCUCCCUGGGGACCAGUUGUCCACCCAAGAGCAGCCACCACCUUGGGAACACCUCUUGGUGGCCACCUUCUCUCUGGAGAUGCCACCACCCCUUGGGAUCACCACCCUUUGGGGAUCUCAGGGGGUGUCACCUCCCCUUGGGGACCUCCCCAGGGCUGUCACCUUCCCCUGAGAACCUGCUGUCCACCCAAGAGGAGGCACAACCUUCUUGAUGGUCAACUUCUCCAUGGAGGUGCCACCAUACCUUGGGUCACCACCUUUUGGGGACCUCAAGGACCUCCCCACGACUGUCACCUCCCCUUGGGGACCUUCCCAGGGCUGUCACCUCCCCCCAAGGACCUGCUGUCCACCCAAGAGGAGGCACA